rnacentral:lncRNA from 1 species
GAACUGCUUGCAGCAUAUGUUAAUGCAGUGAAUCAGACAUGCAAAUUAUGAACUUAAGAAAAGAAUCAAGCAAAUUAUAACACAUUAAUUCAACAAGGAUCUAAACAAUGCAUCAAAGUUAUAAAAUCUAAAUAAGAACAAAAUUAAAAUGAAAGAAUAACUACUAUGAAAGAACUUCUACUUAAAAUGAAAGAAAACUAUUAAAAUGCAUCAAAACUUCUACUUAAAGAAUAACAUGCAUGACGAAUGCACACUACUAUGAAAUUAUCAGGAACAGCAAACCCACUGAAGCGUUCUAAAAAUUGUUGAGACAUUGCUUUUAUUCUCAAUAAACAAACAUGCAAACAUCAAACUCAAUAAAAUCAACAUAAAAAAAUAAAGCAAAGGAUCCCUUUGCUUGAAGCAUAAAGUCCAAAAGAUGCUUGAAAAACUAAAACUUAUAUCUGGAUCCAUGCCUUGAAGUAUGAUCUUCAAAUGAUGCAUUGAGCAUAAAAAACACUCCUGAUGAAAUUUUCAUGCAGAAAUUCUCCAAAAGAACAAUUUGGGCACAAGUGUUGGGAGAAACAGACACAGAAACUAGUUUGUUGGUGACUCGAUUCCUCAUCAUUCCUUAUGUAUGUAUGGUUUAGAGAUCGGUGGAGUUGACUGUUGAGUGGUUGUAGUGUGGCGGAGUGAGUGGUGGUAGUGGCCGGUUAUGGCGGAGAAGAAGAUAGGGAAUUGGAGAAGAAAGGAGUUGAAUUAUAUUAUGCCACGUCAAUUAAG